rnacentral:lncRNA from 1 species
ACACAGCCCCCAUCAUCUUCGUCUCCCUGUUGCUGCAAAACAGGGGAAGAUUUACACACCACAGCCACCACCAUCUUUCCACACCACAGCCACCACCAUCUUUCCAAGGCCGCCGCGCCAUCUCUCUCCACUGCCGCCGCACCACCAUCUCUCUCCACCGCCGCCGCACCACCAUCUCUCUCCACUGCCGCCGCACCACCAUCUAUCUCCACCGCCGCCGCACCACCAUCUAUCUCCACCGCCGCCGCACCACCAUCUAUCUCCACCGCCGCCGCACCACCACUUGAAAUUAUCAUAUAAAAUUACUAAAAAAUCAAUAAAAAAAAUCCCUAAUCUCCAAUGAAUCUCAAUCUUUUUUCCCUUCCACUACCCCAAUUUCAUCUCCCUCCCCCCAAAUCUUUGAUUCGAGUUCGCCUCUGAUGAGUUUGGCGGUGGUGAUGAGUUGGCGGCGGUGAUGAAGAUUGCCGCUUGAGGAGCAGAUGUGUGGGUCUUGUUUGGCUUGAAAAUGGUGUAAAGGUUUGACCUUUAGACGUUAUAACUGGGAGAUGGGUAAUUAGUAAUGAAGGGGCUUUUGUUUGUAAAUGCUGUAAAGAUUUAUCUGUAUACAAUUGGCAAAAGAGAUGAGGAAUCAAGAAAAGAAGAGAGGAGUUGUUUGUUUUGUUGCAUCUUUUGGUUGGGGCCUGGUGUUGAUGGGAGGAGUUUGGUUGGGGAUGAUGGUGACGGGAAGAAGAGGCUAUUUUUCUUUCUUUUUCUUUUUUUUUUUUUUUUUUUUU